UCCCUAGUGAUCUACUGGUUAAGGUUCUGCAUUUCUAAUGCCAGAGACUCUGGUUCGAUCCCUGGUUGGGGAA
rnacentral:tRNA from 1 species